rnacentral:rRNA from 1 species
UACGUAGGGUGCGAGCGUUGUCCGGAAUUAUUGGGCGUAAAGGGCUCGUAGGCGGUUUGUCGCGUCGGGAGUGAAAUCCACUGGCUUAACUGGUGGCUUGCUUUCGAUACGGGCAGACUGGAGGUAUGCAGGGGAGAACGGAAUUCCUGGUGUAGCGGUGAAAUGCGUAGAUAUCAAGAGGAACACCUGAGGUGAAGACGGGUCUCUGGGCCGAUACUGACGCUGAGGAGCGAAAGCGUGGGGAGCGAACAGG